UACGUAGGGUGCAAGCGUUGUCCGGAAUUAUUGGGCGUAAAGAGCUCGUAGGCGGUCUGUCGCGUCUGCUGUGAAAACUCGGGGCUUAACCCCGGGCCUGCAGUGGGUACGGGCAGACUAGAGUGCGGUAGGGGAGACUGGAAUUCCUGGUGUAGCGGUGAAAUGCGCAGAUAUCAGGAGGAACACCGGUGGCGAAGGCGGGUCUCUGGGCCGUAACUGACGCUGAGGAGCGAAAGCGUGGGGGAGCGAACAGG
rnacentral:rRNA from 1 species